UCACAGGCCUCACAGCCACAGCGCAGUGCCAACCAAGCAGCCAGGCCAGGCUGCGAUGCCAUGCCGAUCAGGUCCCUUGUCAAGAUCGCCUCGUAGCUGCAAAUACAAGUGGUCAGAGUGGUGGCUGCGUGUAACUGAAGGGCUACUCUGGACUAAAUGAGAAUGCUGGUCAUCUUUGGAAUCCUGCUGAUGUUCACAGAAGCUUCCAUGACUUCAGAAGAGGCUUCCUUCUGGGACAAUGGCCAUGCAGACCAUUUUGUGGCAUAUGGUCUGAGCACUGGCAGCCUGACCUCCCACUUCUUCAACCUCU
ensembl:lncRNA